rnacentral:misc_RNA from 1 species
GAUGAAGAACGUAGUGAAAUGCGAUACGUAAUGUGAAUUGCAGAAUUCAGUGAAUCAUCGAAUCUUUGAACGCAUAUUGCGCUCUCUGGUAUUCCGGAGAGCAUGCUUGUUUGAGUAUCAGUAAACACCUCAACUCCCUUUUCUUUUUUGAAAUUGGAGCUGGACUUGAGUGAUCCCAACGCUUUCUUCCAAGAAAGUGGCGGGUUGCUUGAAAUGCAGGUGCAGCUGAACUUUUCUCUGAGCUAUAAGCAUAUCUAUUUAGUCUGCCUAAAAAACAGAUUAUUACCUUUGCUGCAGCUAACAUAAAGGAGACUAGUUCUUGUGCUGACUGAUGCAGGAUUCACAGAGACAGCUUCGGCUGACUUUGUAAACUCGAUCUCAAAUCAAGUAAGACUACCCGCUGAACCUAAGCAUAUCAAUAAGCGGAGGA